AGGAAAGGUGUUGCCACAAUAGGUGCCCUCACUGCCCAGAGGUGGAACUCAGCAGCCCAGGCGCCGCCGCCCUGAGUAUCCUGCGGAAAAUGUGAGAACUCUGGGGAGCCAUUGCUGCUGCAAGGACCCGCGGGCGGGCUACCGCGCUGGUGGGGGGGCUCUGUCCAAACCUUGCGUCCUCGACUUCCCAUCCGCCUCAUAAAGGGUUGGUGAAGACCAUCUCAAGGACCGCACGAACUGGUCCUUCAAGUCCCAGGAAACCGAAACAACAACCGAGGCGGCUCUCUGUCCGGGCCACUUCCGGAGCGAGCUCUGCGGCGGACCUCUGGCUCCCGCUCCUUUGGGCACCCGCGGUGCGGCCAGACCGCUCCUGCCAGCGACUCUCUGGCUGGCAAGGGAGAGGAGGUGGAGUUCAGACUGGCCC
rnacentral:lncRNA from 1 species